AUUGAACGCUGGCGGCAGGCCUAACACAUGCAAGUCGAGCGGAUGAAGGGAGCUUGCUCCUGGAUUCAGCGGCGGACGGGUGAGUAAUGCCUAGGAAUCUGCCUGGUAGUGGGGGAUAACGUCCGGAAACGGGCGCUAAUACCGCAUACGUCCUGAGGGAGAAAGUGGGGGAUCUUCGGACCUCACGCUAUCAGAUGAGCCUAGGUCGGAUUAGCUAGUUGGUGGGGUAAAGGCCUACCAAGGCGACGAUCCGUAACUGGUCUGAGAGGAUGAUCAGUCACACUGGAACUGAGACACGGUCCAGACUCCUACGGGAGGCAGCAGUGGGGAAUAUUGGACAGUGGGCGAAAGCCUGAUCCAGCCAUGCCGCGUGUGUGAAGAAGGUCUUCGGAUUGUAAAGCACUUUAAGUUGGGAGGAAGGGCAGUAAGUUAAUACCUUGCUGUUUUGACGUUACCGACAGAAUAAGCACCGGCUAACUUCGU
rnacentral:rRNA from 1 species